rnacentral:rRNA from 1 species
AGUGAACGCUGGCGGUAGGCCUAACACAUGCAAGUCGAACGGCAGCACAGUAAGAGCUUGCUCUUACGGGUGGCGAGUGGCGGACGGGUGAGGAAUACAUCGGAAUCUACUUUUUCGUGGGGGAUAACGUAGGGAAACUUACGCUAAUACCGCAUACGACCUACGGGUGAAAGCAGGGGAUCUUCGGACCUUGCGCGAUUGAAUGAGCCGAUGUCGGAUUAGCUAGUUGGCGGGGUAAAGGCCCACCAAGGCGACGAUCCGUAGCUGGUCUGAGAGGAUGAUCAGCCACACGGGAACAGAGACACGGUCCAGACACCUACGGGAGGAAGCAGUGGGGAAUAUUGGACAAUGGGCGCAAGCCUGAUCCAGCCAUACCGCGUGGGUGAAGAAGGCCUUCGGGUUGUAAAGCCCUUUUGUUGGGAAAGAAAAGCAGCAGGUUAAUACCCCGCUGUUCUGACGGUACCCAAAGAAUAAGCACCGGCUAACUUCGUG